rnacentral:tRNA from 1 species
UCAAUGGUAGAGUUCUGGCCUUCCAAGCCAGCUGUGAGGGUUCGAUCCCCUUCACCCGCUCCA